GGCGGUGUAGCUCAGCUGGUUAGAGCGCACGCCUGAUAAGCGUGAGGUCGGUGGUUCGAGUCCACUCCACCGCCA
rnacentral:tRNA from 1 species